AAUUCUAUGCCAGCCUUAUUUGUGGCCUCAAUGAGAUAUUUGUUACUGAGUUUCAGAGAGGUGGGAGUCAUUUAUGGGUCCCAGUCCAUACAUACAUGUACAUAUAAACAUGUGUAUAUAUGUAAGUUAAAUGUGUGUGUGUGCGUGUGUGUGUGUGUGUGUGUGUGUGUGUACACAUUUCCAGAGAAGGAAGUACCAGCCCUUCUUGGAGGAGCUUCAUUAGGCACAAAGCUGGCGGCAGGUGCUUUCUUCAUUAGGGAGCUGUUGCCCUCUACUGGACGAGACAGGAGAAGCAACUCAGUGAUCACUUUGAAAGUCCUGGAAGAGACCAAAGUGUAUG
rnacentral:lncRNA from 1 species